rnacentral:lncRNA from 1 species
UAGCUUGCAUUUCGAGCAGUAAAACCACGCUAGACUUAUGCAACCACACAUUCUUGUGAAAGGUUAAACAAGCUAGCGUGCAUAUACGAAGCGUUAUCCACUGCUGACAUGCUACGUAGUCGAUAAGCUUCACAUCUGCCAAGCGCAGAACAACCUACACCAAGUCCUAAAGUGUUGUGAUACUCGUUAUGCAACCUAUGGAAUUGGAGAAAGCCAAGGUUAACAACCUAGUGGUUACGCGGACUUGUCUACUUUUGUAAGUAAGGCAUUCGGUUGCCAACCUUAUGACUAACAACUUUGCAAAGUUCUACACCAACACCUACGGCUGCAUAGACUACGCGAGCCUGUCUGCUUAUAGAAAAGUAGCACGCAUGCCACUGGUCUAUAAAAGUCUAAAGGUUAGGGCAUGAACAAAAGAAGUGAAGAUGAAGAAAAGCGAAUGAAGCAUGUUUAUAAAAUAUUAGCAAAGGUCGAAGGAGUUCAAGCAAAACAAGAGCUACAAGGAAAAACAAAUAAAAUCCUAAAAGCUACCUAGAGGACUACAACAGCUUGGACAUCCCAAGACUACUUGGUCGCCACACCUUCAGUAGCCGCGAUGCUCUUAGCAGCGGCAUCAUCCGGCGCUUCUCCCCUAGCUACCUCAUCCUUGGCACUAACUUCUCCAAUUACUUCACCAAUGGAAGCCUCAAAAGUAAAAACAAGCAAGUUUUUUGGAGAAACUACCAUAGUCUUCACCACCUCCUUGGCAGCCUUGCUAUAUAUGCAUCAUAGCAAACAGAGCAGUCCUUCUAUAUUGGGUCGUAUGUUUCACAAAGGAACUUGGGCAAACAACUUUUCUACCUCCAUCAACAAACUUGGCACAAACGUCCAUAUCUUCAAGUAAAUCUAGUUUUAAAAGCACAUAGAUCUCAGCAGCCUCCCCAGAAGCUGUUGGAAAUGUGCCCUAAAACCAUGAUACUUUACGGACAUUUCACAUGUUAAACUAAUCUAGUUUAACUAUAAAGGGCAAAGAUUAUUGUUUGAGUCGUCUCAUAUAAAUGUUAUAUGCUUAAACGAUAAAGUCCAAGGAAUAUGUGAUUGGGAGAAUGCGAUCUAAAGAAGUUAGAUUCAUGAGACCAUUCUUUCGUAGACACAUCCUAAACGUUCCUGAUCAUAGGAUUGCCAAUUGGGCAUUGACAGUCCGUUAAGAUCAGUACGUGCUGUAUCUUCUCUCAGGGAAAGUGACUAGUCUCGAGUCAUUGGUGUGUGUGACAUCAAGACAAGUACGUAGGUGCUCAAUAGAGAAUGAGUUCACUGAACACGAUCAACGAAGAGUUCUCAUAUUCAUGUCACAUGAGAACUCAUGGUUGGGAUAAUGCAAAGUAGUCCUUUGACUUGAGGCAUCACAGUUGUCUUGUGGUUAAGUUCUUGAUCUUUGAUUAUGUCAAAGUCACCCCAUCGGGGUGUCCACGGCAUCGUUGGGGUUAAGCCACUUAGCCAUGGAGACAAGUGAAUGCGCAACAAGGGAUCUCUAACCUUCAAACCGUUUGAGGGAGAAUACUCUAUGAUAUGAUUUAGAACCUCUGGCCAGAGUAUGAAUGAGAUUUAGGAAAGCGUUCCAAAUCACAUUCAAGGUAAUCAUAUAAGCACAUGAAUCACAUUGGAUAGUAGACAUGAAUAAAUAAACUAUCAAACCAAACAAUGUGGUUAAGAGUAUUGUAUUAGAGAAAGACCGUAUUGCAUUUGUAAUCCUAAACUGAAUAGGUUCUCCACCUCUUCUGAUUAGCUUAGGUAACCAUGAUAUGCUGCUAGG